UCCUGGGAUAACACUGACGUUCAUGCUCGAAAGCGUGGGUAGCAAACAGGAUUAGAUACCCUGGUAGUCCACGCCCUAAACGAUGUCAAUCAGCUGUUGGGCAACUUGAUUGCUUAGUAGCGUAGCUAACGCGUGAAAUUGACCGCCUGGGGAGUACGGUCGCAAGAUUAAAACUCAAAGGAAUUGACGGGGACCCGCACAAGCGGUGGAUGAUGUGGAUUAAUUCGAUGCAACGCGAAGAACCUUACCUGGUCUUGACAUGUACGGAAUCCUCCAGAGACGGAGGAGUGCCUUCGGGAGCCGUAACACAGGUGCUGCAUGGCUGUCGUCAGCUCGUGUCGUGAGAUGUUGGGUUAAGUCCCGCAACGAGCGCAACCCUUGUCAUUAGUUGCCAUCAUUUAGUUGGGCACUCUAAUGAGACUGCCGGUGACAAGCCGGAGGAAGGUGGGGAUGACGUCAAGUCCUCAUGGCCCUUAUGACCAGGGCUUCACACGUCAUACAAUGGUCGGUACAGAGGGUAGCCAAGCCGCGAGGUGGAGCCAAUCUCACAAAACCGAUCGUAGUCCGGAUUGCACUCUGCAACUCGAGUGCAUGAAGUCGGAAUCGCUAGUAAUCGCAGGUCAGCAUACUGCGGUGAAUACGUUCCCGGGUCUUGUACACACCGCCCGUCACACCAUGGGAGUGGGGGAUACCAGAAGUAGGUAGGGUAACCGCAAGGAGCCCGCUUACCACGGUAUGCUUCAUGACUGGGGUGAAGUCGUAACAAGGUAGCCGUAGGGGAACC
rnacentral:rRNA from 1 species